rnacentral:misc_RNA from 1 species
UAUAUGUUGAUGAUAUUGUUAUUAGUAGAAGCAACACUAUAGAAAUUUCAUAUUUGAAAUCUUUUCUUCAUACCCUUUUUCAAACAAAGGAUAUGGGGUUGUUGAAAUAUUUUCGAGGUACUAAAGUAACAAGGUGUAAGAAAGGUUUUUUUUCCCCCAAAAAAAGUAUGUUCCUGACUUAUUGCUAGAAAUAGGAAAAUUGGGUCCUAAGCCUUCUAGUACUCCCAUGACUCCCAAAGUACAACUUAAAAAAGAAGACAAUGAAUUAUUUGGGGACCCUAAACAAAAUAGAAAAUUGGUUGAUAAAUUGAAUUAUAUUACAAUGACCCGACCUGAUAUUGCAUACUCUGUUAAUGUUAUAAAUCAGUUUAUGUCCUCUCCAACAGGCAAUCAUUAGGCAUAACUAAAACAAAUCUUGUGCUACUAGAAGGGAGCUCCAAGACGAAGUCUGUUGUAUGGGAAUCAUGGACACUCAAAUAUUGUUGUUUUUCAAAUGCGGACUAGGCAAGAGUCCAAAGUUGAUCAGAGAUCUACUACAAUGUAUUUUGUUUAUGUGAGAGCAAAUUUCGUAUUAUGAAAAGGCAAGAAGCAAAAUAUGGCUUCUAGAUAUAGUGCAGAAUCGCAAUAAAGUUAUGGCACAGUUUAUGUGUGAGAUAAUGUGGUUGUAUUAAUUAUUGAAUAAAGGUGGUCUUAAGUCUUCGUUGCUAGCCAAGUUGGGGUGCGACAAUUAGGCUGCUCUUUAUGUUAUUUCUAAUCCCGUGUUUCAUGAACAAACUAAAUAUAUUAAGAUUGAUAGUCAUUUUAACACGACUUGUGAAAAUAAACUUUUCCUGAAUCUUGUCAUGAAUAAAAUGACU